AUUGAACGCUGGCGGAAUGCUUUACACAUGCAAGUCGAACGGUAGAGGGGGCAACCCCUUGAGAGUGGCGAACGGGUGAGUAAUGCAUCGGAACGUGCCUAUCAGUGGGGGAUAACGCUUCGAAAGGAGUGCUAAUACCGCAUAUUCUCCGAGGAGGAAAGCAGGGGACCUUCGGGCCUUGCGCUGAUAGAGCGGCCGAUGUCGGAUUAGCUAGUUGGUGAGGUAACGGCUCACCAAGGCUACGAUCAGUAGCUGAUCUGAGAGGAUGAUCAGCCACAUUGGGACUGAGACACGGCCCAAACUCCUACGGGAGGCAGCAGUGGGGGAAUAUUGGACAAUGGGCGCAAGCCUGAUCCAGCCAUGCCGCGUGAGUGAUGAAGGCCUUCGGGUUGUAAAGCUCUUUUGUCCGGGAAGAUAAUGACUGUACCGGAAGAAUAAGCCCCGGCAAACUUCGUGCCAGCAGCCGCGGU
rnacentral:rRNA from 1 species